CUCCUCCGUCCAUGGGAUUUUCCGCUACAACGGUUCAAGUCUCAAUCUGAGGUGGCCGGUUUUAUCAUGGUGCUGGCAGAGAGAGAGGCCAAAGGAUUUAUUCCUUGCCUGAGUGCUUUCUUCCCUUCAUCUCGUACAUUUGAAAUUUUCUUUGACCUCUGAAGACUUAUGUUGCCUGAGGAAGCCCUGAAGUUAAGGAAGAGGAAAGCGAAGGAGUGAGGCAUGGCUCUUUCUGAGGAACAACUGACCUCUGAGGACGUGGCCAUCGAAUUCACUCAGGAGGAGUGGGGAUUCCUGGACGCUGCUCAGAGGGCCUUGUACAGGGACGUGAUGCUGGAGACCUACAGGAACCUGCUGUCCGUGGAGCAUGGGGGAAUCUUACCUCCCUGACCCAGGCAUUGAACCUGCACCCUCUGCAUUGGAAGCUGAAGUCUUAACCACCAGGCCACCAGGGAAGUCCCUACGUUGUCUUAUUUUUUUGCCUCACAUGUGUAUAUGACAAUUUAAAAUAAAGUAAUAAAUAACAUGUAUU